rnacentral:rRNA from 1 species
UACGUAGGAGGCAAGCGUUAUCCGGAAUGACUGGGCGUAAAGGGUGCGUAGGUGGUUUGACAAGUUGGUAGCGUAACUCCGAGGCUCAACCUCGGCACUACUACCAAAACUGUUGAACUUGAGUGCAGGAGGGGCAACUGGAAUUCCUAGUGUAGCGGUGGAAUGCGUAGAUAUUAGGAGGAACACCAGUGGCGAAGGCGACUUUCUGGACGAUAACUGACGUUGAGGCACGAGAGUGUGGGGAGCAAACAGG